UACGGAGGGUGCGAGCGUUGUCCGGAAUCACUGGGCGUAAAGGGCGCGUAGGUGGCCUGUGGAAGUCUGCGGUGAAAGCCCGGCGCUCAACGCCGGGUCGGCCGUGGAUACUCUCGGGCUUGAGCGUACUAGAGGCAGAUGGAAUUCCGGGUGUAGCGGUGGAAUGCGUAGAGAUCCGGAAGAACACCGGUGGCGAAGGCGGUCUGCUGGGGUAAUGCUGACACUGAUGCGCGACAGCGUGGGGAGCAAACAGG
rnacentral:rRNA from 1 species